rnacentral:rRNA from 1 species
UAUUCCCAAACAACUCGACUCGUCAGAAGGGCCUCACUGCUUCCGCCGGCAUCCCACGGGGCUCUCACCCUCCUGGGCGCCCUGUUCCAAGGGACUUGGACACCGCCUUCCACACAGACUCCAACCUGCAAUCUACAACUCGUGCCGCAAAGCACGAUUUCAAAUCUGAGCUCUUGCCGCUUCACUCGCCGCUACUGAGGCAAUCCCUGUUGGUUUCUUUUCCUCCGCGCUUAUUGAUAUGCAUGGUCCGUGUUUCAAGACGGCUUUUCCUCCGCGCUUAUUGAUAUGCGUGGUCCGUGUUUCAAGACGGGCCUUUUCCCCGCGCUUAUUGAUAUGCAUGAUCCGUGUUUCAAGACGGCUUUUCCUCCGCGCUUAUUGAUAUGCA